GAGUAGAUGGCUUAACGGUAAAGCGCAGUUUUGCCCUUACGGGCCGCAGGACGAAGGUUAUCGCUGUUAACGAUCCCCCCUUUGUCCGUCGAGAUGCGGGUUCGAUUCCCGCUCUACUCC
rnacentral:tRNA from 1 species